CAAUAGCGUAUAUUAAAGUUGUUGCAGUUAAAAAGCUCGUAGUUGGAUUUCGGGGUGGCCUGGCUGGUCCGCCGCAAGGUGAGUACUGGUCAGCCGCCCUUCCUCUCGAAAGCCCCGACUGCUCUUUACUGCAGUGGUCGGGUAGUUCGGGACGUUUACUUUGAAAGAAUUAGAGUGUUCAAGGCAGGCUAUCGCCUGAAUACAUUAGCAUGGAAUAAUGGAAGAGGACCUCGGUCCUAUUUUGUUGGUUUCUAGGGCCGAAGUAAUGAUUAAGAGGGACAGUUGGGGGCAUUCGUAUUUAAUUGUCAGAGGUGAAAUUCUUGGAUUUAUGAAAGACGAACUAGUGCGAAAGCAUUUGCCAAGGAUGUUUUCAUUAA
rnacentral:rRNA from 1 species